GCUUACGGCCAUACCACCCUGAGCACGCCCGAUCUCAUCUGAUCUCGGAAGCUAAGCAGGGUUGGGCUUGGUUAGUACCGGAUGGUAGACUGCCUGGGAAUGAAUACCAGGUGCUGUAAGCU
ensembl:rRNA 5S_rRNA 5S ribosomal RNA